GGCCCUACGGGGCGCAGCAGGCGCGAAACCUCCGCAAUGUGAGAAAUCGCGACGGGGGGAUCCCAAGUGCCAUUCUUAACGGGAUGGCUUUUCAUAAGUGUAAAAAUCUUUUGGAAUAAGAGCUGGGCAAGACCGGUGCCAGCCGCCGCGGUAACACCGGCAGCUCUAGUGGUAACUGUUUUUAUUGGGCCUAAAG
rnacentral:rRNA from 1 species